UGCCCGCUUGGCGGAAUUGGCAGACGCGCAGCGUUCAGGUCGCUGUUUAGGUGACUAAGUGAAGGUUCGAAUCCUUUAGCGGGCAUCAU
rnacentral:tRNA from 1 species